rnacentral:rRNA from 1 species
GACGAACGCUGGCGGCGUGCUUAACACAUGCAAGUCGAACGUGAUUUUUGUGGAAGUUCCUUCGGGAAUGGAAGCGAAAUGAAAGUGGCGAACGGGUGAGUAACACGUGAGCAACCUACCUUACACAGGGGGAUAGCCGUUGGAAACGACGAUUAAUACCGCAUGAGACCACAGAAUCGCAUGAUAUAGGGGUCAAAGAUUUAUCGGUGUAAGAAGGGCUCGCGUCUGAUUAGCUAGUUGGAAGGGUAAAGGCCUACCAAGGCGACGAUCAGUAGCCGGUCUGAGAGGAUGAACCACGAGCACGGUCCAAACUCCUACGGGAGGCAGCAGUGGGGAAUAUUGCACAAUGGGGGGAACCCCUGAUGCAGCGACGCCGCGUGAGCGAAAGAAAGGUUUUUCGAAAU